GUGCUCACUUCUGCAGGACAUAUAUUAAAACUGGAACAAUACAGAGAAGAUUAACAUUGUCCCUAUGCAAGUAUGACAUGCAAAUUCAUGAAGUGUUCCAUAUUUUU
ensembl:snRNA U6 U6 spliceosomal RNA